UAACAGUGAACGGUGCGCAAGUAGGACAGCACUUUCCCUGGAUUACUCGUUGCUUCGUACCUUCUCUCUUUCUUUCUCACUUUCGUGUUCAUUGUAACUCUCUCUCUCUCUUUCUCUCUCUCUCUCUCUCUCUCUUUCUCUUUGUUCAUGAUUAAUCUUAGAUAGUAGCGAAAAUGAGAGUUUUCGUAAAGUUCGAAUGACUUUCGACGUGUACGUACAUAUAUAUAUAUAUAUAUAUAUAUAUAUAUAUAUAUAGAGAGAGAGAGAGAGAGAGAGUCUUCUUUUUGUAAAAAAAAAAAAGAAAAAAAAAAAAAAAGAAGACUUUUCCUUUCAACGAUCUCCCUGGACCGACCGGUUUAUUCUCUUGCAAGAAGCUUUUCUUAUCGUCCUCGUAGAAACUCAAACGUUAAAUCGAACUUCCCGGUUAUCUCGAACCCAAGAACGUAAUGUGUUUCUCUGUUUCUCGUUAUCAUCACGUAUUUUCUUAUACGGUUCGCCCUUGGUGUUGAGAUUACUCGUCGAAGAAUAAUAGAAAAAUACGAAAUGGAUAAUCAACAAUUAAAAAAUAAGAAGUAUGAACGUAAAGAAACUCGACGUGAGAUGAUGGCCAGGAAAAGAUUGUAUUUAAGACAACUCUUUGAGAAAGAAUUCAUCGAACAGGAAGAACUGUUACGUCAGAUAGGCUAUGCUUUAAUUCUUACACAACCUUGACCAUUUCUUUUGUUAUACUUUUGUAAUUGUAAAUGUACCUUGGAUUUUUAUUUUUUUAUAAAUUUAAUAAAAAUAAAUUGUAUCAUUGGUAUAUAUCUUGCGGUAACAAUUCUGUAAAGAAAAUAUUGCCUUAGGGAGCAUUUAUUAUACGUUAAUGUUACAUAUAUGUGUAUGCAUUUGUGGUGUAAUAUAAAUAAAAUAGAGAUAUAUUUUACAAGGUGACAAUGAGUGAAAAUAGAUUGAUUCUCCAUGCUUUCUUAGAUUUUGUAUCUUUCAUUCUUAGACUUUGGUAAAAGAGUUCAUACCAAAAAAUCAUAUAAAAUGCCAAAAGAAGGUCAAAAAGCGUAA